UGCCGCGUGAGUGACGAAGGCCUUAGGGUUGUAAAGCUCUUUUGGCGGGGAAGAUAAUGACGGUACCCGCAGAAUAAGCUCCGGCUAACUUCGUGC
rnacentral:rRNA from 1 species